rnacentral:rRNA from 1 species
AAAAUUGUAUAAUUAAUAGAUCAGAGUAGUAUUAGUUAAGGUCUUGAAACUCAAAAAAUUUGGCGGUAUUUUAGUCUAUUUAGAGGAACCUGUAGUAUAAUCGAUAAUCCACGAUGGACCUCACUUAAUUUUGUUUUUCAGUUUGUAUACCGCUGUUAUUUGAAGAUUUUAUAAGAAUAUUAAUUUUCAGGAUUUUUAAUUAAACAAUAUAUCAGGUCAAGGUGCAGCUUAUAAUUAAGAAUUUAUGGGUUACAAUAAAUUUAUUUAUACGAAUAAAAAUGUGAAAUUAUUUUUUGAAGGUGGAUUUAAUAGUAAAUUUUUAAAGAUAAAAGAAUUGAUU